rnacentral:rRNA from 1 species
GAUGAACGCUGGCGGCGUGCCUAAUACAUGCAAGUCGAGCGAACAGACGAGGAGCUUGCUCCUCUGACGUUAGCGGCGGACGGGUGAGUAACACGUGGAUAACCUACCUAUAAGACUGGGAUAACUUCGGGAAACCGGAGCUAAUACCGGAUAAUAUAUUGAACCGCAUGGUUCAAUAGUGAAAGACGGUUUUGCUGUUACUUAUAGAUGGAUCCGCGCCGCAUUAGCUAGUUGGUAAGGUAACGGCUUACCAAGGCAAUGAUGCGUAGCCGACCUGAGAGGGUGAUCGGCCACACUGGAACUGAGACACGGUCCAGACUCCUACGGGAGGCAGCAGUAGGGAAUCUUCCGCAAUGGGCGAAAGCUUGACGGAGCAACGCCGCGUGAGUGAUGAAGGUCUUCGGAUCGUAAAACUCUGUUAUUAGGGAAGAACAAAUGUGUAAGUAACUAUGCACGUCUUGACGGUACCUAAUCAGAAAGCCACGGCUAACUACGUG